UGUCAGGAAGGCUUAUUUUGUCAAUUAGGCAGUGCGUUUUUUUGCUUGGUCAAUUUUGUCAAUCAGGAUUCACUUUCCUCAUUGUUUUCAUUUCACUUUUGCAAAGGGUGGAGAAUUGUUCAUGGUAGGGCAAGGGUGGGUUCAUAGAGCACGCGAUCGGAAGGUGCACGUGAUCAGACGGUGGUAGACGGAGUAUGGGUUACCCUAGGAAGAACACCAAAUACUCAAUCCGAGCGAGAUCGGUGGUGAGUGUGAGACACUGAGAGAACGAGUUUUGCGGGUCAGAGAGAGAGCGCAGGAGUGGGAGAGCAAGAUACAUAAAGUUCGAACCAAGGGUUGUCGUAAAGAGGAAGAACAAGUAUGGGGACUAAACUGCUUCUAGAUAUUUAACCAUGUUUUCUUAUGUGCGUACUUGGGAUUUUGAUUCAGGAAUGAAGGAUAUGGCGGAUUGGUUGUGUUUAAUACUUAAAUGAUGGGUUUGAAUUGCAUGUUGAGCAAUAACGUGUGCAUAUUUCAUGUUUUAAGAUGAUAUACUUGCCAUGUGAAGGCAAUGUAUAUAACUCUGUGAUUUAAUGUCUAUAUGUUGUAUUCGGUUGCUGCAAUGGGUUUAUUGAACCGGGAAUUCAAUGGGGUAAGUUCAGAUUAGAGUUAA